rnacentral:rRNA from 1 species
AUUUUCCGGUUGAUCCUGCCGGAAGCCAUUGCUAUUGGAGUCCGAUUUAGCCAUGCUAGUCGCACGGGUUCAGACCCGUGGCGAAUAGCUCCGUAACACGUGGCCAAACUACCCUAUGGAUCGGAAUAACCUCGGGAAACUGAGGCUAAUACCGAAUAUCGCUCCCAUCCUGGAACUGGAGGGAGCACGAAACGCUCCGGCGCCAUAGGAUGUGGCUGCGGCCGAUUAGGUAGACGGUGGGGUAACGGCCCACCGUGCCGAUAAUCGGUACGGGUUGUGAGAGCAAGAGCCCGGAGACGGUAUCUGAGACAAGAUACCGGGCCCUACGGGGCGCAGCAGGCGCGAAACCUUUACACUGCACGAACGUGCGAUAAGGGGACUCCAAGUGCGAGGGCAUACAGUCCUCGCUUUUCUGUACCGUAAGGUGGUACAGGAAUAAGAGUUGGGCAAGACCGGUGCCAGCCGCCGCGGUAAUACCGGCAGCUCGAGUGAUGGCCAAUAUUAUUGGGCCUAAAGCGUCCGUAGCCGGCCGAACAGGUCCGUCGGGAAAUCCGCUCGCUCAACGAGCGGACGUCCGGCGGAAACCAGUCGGCUUGGGACCGGAAGACCCGAGGGGUACGGCUGGGGUAGGAGUGAAAUCCUGUAAUCCUGGCCGGACCACCGGUGGCGAAAGCGCCUCGGGAAGACGGAUCCGACGGUGAGGGACGAAAGCUGGGGUCACGAACCGGAUUAGAUACCCGGGUAGUCCUAGCUGUAAACGAUGCUCGCUAGGUGUGGCACUGGCUACGAGCCAGUGCUGUGCCGUAGGGAAGCCGAGAAGCGAGCCGCCUGGGAAGUACGUCCGCAAGGAUGAAACUUAAAGGAAUUGGCGGGGGAGCACUACAACCGGAGGAGCCUGCGGUUUAAUUGGAUUCAACGCCGGAAAUC